rnacentral:rRNA from 1 species
GACGAACGCUGGCGGCGUGCCUAAUACAUGCAAGUAGAACGCUGAAGAGAGGAGCUUGCUCUUCUUGGAUGAGUUGCGCACGGGUGAGUAACGCGUAGGUAACCUGCCUUGUAGCGGGGGAUAACUAUUGGAAACGAUAGCUAAUACCGCAUAACAAUGGAUGACACAUGUCAUUUAUUUGAAAGGGGCAAUUGCUCCACUACAAGAUGGACCUGCGUUGUAUUAGCUAGUAGGUGAGGUAAUGGCUCACCUAGGCGACGAUACAUAGCCGACCUGAGAGGGUGAGCGGCCACACUGGGACUGAGACACGGCCCAGACUCCUACGGGAGGCAGCAGUAGGGAAUCUUCGGCAAUGGGGGCAACCCUGACCGAGCAACGCCGCGUGAGUGAAGAAGGUUUUCGGAUCGUAAAGCUCUGUUGUAAGUCAAGAACGGGUGUGAGAGUGGAAAGUUCACACUGUGACGGUAGCUUACCAGAAAGGGACGGCUAACUACGUG